UGAAUACGAGACGCUACGGCGUCGAAGCAGUCUAUGUCAUACUUCCAAGAAAAGCUUGCACUGUCAUAAACAAAUAAUGCCUGUACCAUAACCGACACAGGUGGGUAGGUAGAGUAUACUAAGGGGCGCGAGAUAACUCUCUCUAAGGAACUCGGCAAAAUGACUCCGUAACUUCGGGAGAAGGAGUGCCUUAUUUAUAAGGUUGCAAUAACAAGAUCCAAGCAACUGUUUAUCAAAAACACAGGUCUCCGCUAAGUCGUAAGACGAUGUAUGGGGGCUGACGCCUGCCCAGUGCCAGAAGGUUAAAGAAGUUGGUUAGCAUUAGCGAAGCUGAUAACUGAAGCCCUGGUGAACGGCGGCCGUAACUAUAACGGUCCUAAGGUAGCGAAAUUCCUUGUCGGGUAAGUUCCGACCCGCACGAAAGGCGUAAUGAUUUGGAUACUGUCUCAGAGAGGGGCUCGGUGAAAUAGACUUGUCUGUGAAGAUGCGGACUACCUGCACCAGGACAGAAAGACCCUAUGAAGCUUUACUGUAACUUGAAAUUGAAAUUGGACUUUAUUUGCGCAGUAUAGGUGGGAGGCAUUGAUAAUAUUCUUGCGGGAAUGUUGGAGCCAUCAGUGAGAUACCACUCUUGUAAUGUUAGAUUUCUAACUUUGGAUCAUUAUCUGGUCAAAGGACAGUUUCAGGCGGGCAGUUUGACUGGGGCGGUCGCCUCCUAAAUGGUAACGGAGGCGCACAAAGGUUUCCUCUGAACGGGUAGAAAUCGUAUCUAGAGUGUAAAGGCAUAAGGAAGCUUGACUGUGAGACCUACAAGUCGAGCAGGGACGAAAGUCGGUCUUAGUGAUCUGACGGUGCUGAGUGGAAAGGCCGUCACUCAACGGAUAAAAGUUACUCUAAGGAUAACAGGCUGAUCUCCCCCAAGAGUUCACAUCGACGGGGAGGUUUGGCACCUCGAUGUCGGCUCAUCGCAUCCUGGGGCGGUAGUACGUCCCAAGGGUUGGGCUGUUCGCCCAUGAAAGCGGUACGCGAGCUGGGUUCAGAACGUCGUGAGACAGUUCGGUCCAUAUCCGGUGUAGGCGUUAGAAUAUUGAGAGGAGCCUUCUUUAGUACGAGAGGACCGAGAAGGACAUACCUCUGGUGUACCAGUUAUCGUGCCAACGGUAAACGCUGGGUAGCUAUGUAUGGAGAGGAUAACCGCUGAAAGCAUCUAAGUGGGAAGCCCACCUCAAGAUAAGUAUUC
rnacentral:rRNA from 1 species